UACGUAGGGUGCGAGCGUUGUCCGGAAUUAUUGGGCGUAAAGAGUGCGUAGGUGGUGCCCUAAGUCUGUUGUGAAAUCUCCCGGCUUAACUGGGAGGGUGCGGUGGAAACUGGGGUGCUUGAGUGUGGGAGAGGUAAGCGGAAUUCCUGGUGUAGCGGUGAAAUGCGUAGAUAUCAGGAGGAACACCGGUGGUGUAGACGGCUUACUGGACCACGACUGACACUGAGGCACGAAAGCGUGGGUAGCAAACAGG
rnacentral:rRNA from 1 species